GGACAAGAUAUCUAGGGCGCACGGCGGAUGCCUUGGCACAGGAAGUCGACGAAGGACGCGGCAAGCUGCGAUAAGCCCCGGGGAGUGGCAAACACACCUUGAUCCGGGGAUCUCCGAAUGGGGGAACCCACCUGGGGUCAUGCCCAGGUAUCCCGUCCUGAAUGAAAUAGGGACGAGGAAGGCAACCGGGGGAACUGAAACAUCUAAGUACCCCGAGGAAGAGAAAUCAACCGAGAUUGCGCGAGUAGCGGCGAGCGAAAGCGCACCAGCCCAAACCCGGGCGCGUGUAAGCGGCAGGCGUUGCCGCCCGGGGGUUGCGGGACACCCGUCCAGGUGCUGCCCACCUGGGAGUGGUCACAAAUCCGUCAGGUAGCGGAACGGCAUGGAAGGGCCGGCCGCAGCGGGUGAGAGCCCCGUACGCGAAACCUGACGGACCACUGCGGUGCAUCCCGAGUAGGGCCGGGCACGUGAAACCCGGUCCGAAGCCGGGGGGACCACCCUCCAAGGCUGAACACUCUCCUGUGACCGAUAGCGAACCAGUACCGUGAGGGAAAGGUGAAAAGCACCCCGAGAGGGGAGUGAAACAGUACCUGAAACCGUGCGCCCACAAGCAGUCGGAGCAACCUUGCGUUGUGACGGCGUGCCUUUUGUAGAAUGAGCCAGCGAGUUGCGGUGUGCGGCGAGGUUAAGUUUGGAAACGAGCCGCAGCGAAAGCGAGCCUUUAAGAUGGCGAGUGAGUCGCACGCUGCAGACGCGAAGCCGGGUGAGCUAUCCUGGGGCAGGCUGAAGCGGGGGUAAGACCCCGUGGAGGGCCGAACCCACUUCGGUUGAAAACGGAGGGGAUGACCCCAGGAUAGGGGUGAAAGGCCAAUCAAACCCGGAGAUAUCUCGUUCUCCCCGAAAUAGCUUUAGGGCUAGCCUCGGCCGUUAACCCGCGGUGGUAGAGCCACCGGAUCGACGAGGGGGCUUCACCGCCUACCGACUCGAACCGAACUCCGAAUGCCGCGGGUCGAGAGGCCGGGAGUCAGAGGGCGUGGGCUAAGCUGCGCGCUCGAGAGGGAAACAGCCCAGACCGCCCGCUAAGGUCCCCAAGUCAUCGCUGAGUGGCAAAGGAUGUGCGUCUGCCCAGACAACCAGGAUGUUGGCUUAGAAGCAGCCAUGCAUUUAAAGAGUGCGUAACAGCUCACUGGUCGAGUGGACAUGCGCCGACAAUUCACGGGGCUAAGCGAUGCACCGAAGCGGCGGACUGAUCUUUCAGUGGUAGGGGAGCUUUCCGCGACCGGCGAAGCCGCAGGGCGACCUGCGGUGGAGGGCGCGGAAGUGAGAAUGCUGGCAUGAGUAACGAGACCAGGGCGAGAAACCCUGGCGCCGUGAGCCUAAGGGUUCCUGGGCGAGGCUAAUCCCCCCAGGGUCAG
rnacentral:rRNA from 1 species